rnacentral:rRNA from 1 species
GACGAACGCUGGCGGCGUGCUUAACACAUGCAAGUCGAACGAUGAAGCCUAGCUUGCUAGGUGGAUUAGUGGCGAACGGGUGAGUAAUACGUGAGUGACCUACCUUUGACUCUGGGAUAAGCCUGGGAAACUGGGUCUAAUACCGGAUACGACCAAUCUCCGCAUGGGGUGUUGGUGGAAAGCGUUAUGGAGUGGUUUUAGAUGGGCUCACGGCCUAUCAGCUUGUUGGUGAGGUAAUGGCUUACCAAGGCGACGACGGGUAGCCGGCCUGAGAGGGUGACCGGCCACACUGGGACUGAGACACGGCCCAGACUCCUACGGGAGGCAGCAGUGGGGAAUAUUGCACAAUGGGCGCAAGCCUGAUGCAGCGACGCCGCGUGAGGGAUGACGGCCUUCGGGUUGUAAACCUCUGUUAGCAUCGAAGAAGCGAAAGUGACGGUAGGUGCAGAGAAAGCGC